rnacentral:rRNA from 1 species
GACGAACGCUGGCGGCGUGCUUAACACAUGCAAGUCGAACGAUGAAGCUGGAGCUUGCUCCGGUGGAUUAGUGGCGAACGGGUGAGUAACACGUGAGCAAUCUGCCCUUCACUCUGGGAUAACUGCGGGAAACUGUAGCCAAUACCGGAUACGAGGCUUGGAGGCAUCUCCAGGUCUGGAAAGAAUUUCGGUGAAGGAUGAGCUCGCGGCCUAUCAGCUUGUUGGUGAGGUAAUGGCUCGCCAAGGCGACUACGGGUAGCCGGCCUGAGAGGGUGACCGGCCACACUGGGACUGAGACACGGCCCAGACUCCUACGGGAGGCAGCAGUGGGGGAUAUUGCACAAUGGGCGAAAGCCUGAUGCAGCAACGCCGCGUGAGGGAUGAAGGCCUUCGGGUUGUAAACCUCUUUUAGCAGGGAAGAAGCGAAAGUGACGGUACCUGCAGAAAAAGCACCGGCUAACUACGUGCCAGCCGCCGCGGUAA